rnacentral:SRP_RNA from 1 species
UACCAGCCGGGGAAGUAGCGGAGCCCUGAACCUGAAAUCCGCUAUAGCAGGGGUAGAUCCCCCGUUUGAGGGACGAUCCUUUGUGAAUGAGUCGUUUUUUCUGUGUUGAGGAAUGGGUCUUGCGCAAUCGGGAACUGUGAAUCAUGUCAGGUGGGGAACCAAGCAGCAUUAAGCGGUCAACCCGAUGUGCCGCGAGGGCGCCUGUUCUGAGCAGGGGAGACGAAGAUCGCUCGGGGGUGACUUUCG